rnacentral:rRNA from 1 species
GGUCAAGCUACUAAGGGCGUGUGGUGGAUGCCUUGGCACCGAGAGGCGAAGAAGGACGUAGUUACCUGCGAUAAGCCACGAGUAACUGGAAGCAAGUUUAUCCGUGGAUCUCCGAAUGGGGCAACCCCGCCCGGCAAACCCGGGCGAUCGCCGACUGAAUACAUAGGUCGGCGAGGCCAACCGAGGGAACUGAAACAUCUAAGUACCUCGAGGAAAAGAAAGCAAUGCGCGACUCCGUGAGUAGUGGCGAGCGAAAGCGGAAGAGCCCAAACCGUGCGUACGUGAUAGGCCGUAUCCGUUGUGCGCAUGGGGUUGCGGGACGUGUCUUCGGGAAAAUACGGAGUCCCGGAGAGGUUACAAAUCAGGAUUUUAGCCGAACACCGCUGGAUAAGCGGGGCCAUAGACGGUGAUAGCCCGGUACGCGAAAAGAUCCUGACCUCUUUGACAUGUUCCCAAGUAGCGCGGGACACGUGGAACCCCGUGUGAAUCUGGGAGGCCCAUCUCCCAAGGCUAAGUACUACUCGGUGACCGAUAGUGAACCAGUACCGUGAGGGAAAGGUGAAAAGCACCCCGAAGGGGGAGUGAAAUAGAACCUGAAACCACAUGCUUACAAUCAGUGGGAGGACGAUGGCUUCGGCCCGUCUGACCGCGUGCCUUUUGCAUAAUGAGCCGGCGAGUUAAUUUGUGUAGCGGGCGAAGGGCUUAUGGUCCACAGCCGCAGCGAAAGCGAGUCUGAAUAGGGCGUAUGUUGCACAGAUUAGACCCGAAACCGGGUGAUCUAUCCAUGACCAGGGUAAAGUUCUCGUAAAAGGGAAUGGAGGCCCGAACCAGUGGCAGUUGAAAAUGCUUUGGAUGAGUUGUGGAUAGGGGUGAAAGGCCAAUCAAACUCGGAAAUAGCUGGUUCUCCCCGAAAUAUAUUUAGGUAUAGCGUCGCACGGUAGCCAACGGGGGUAGAGCACUGGAUGGGCUAGGGGUCCUACCAGAUUACUGAACCCAACCAAACUCCGAAUACCGUUGGUGGAACUGCGGCAGUCAGACUGCGGGGGAUAAGCUCCGUGGUCAAAAGGGAAUCAGCCCAGACCGUCAGCUAAGGUCCCAAAUUCAAGCUCAGUGGGAAACGAUGUGUAAUUGCACAGACAACCAGGAUGUUGGCUUAGAAGCAGCCAUUCAUUUAAAGAGUGCGUAACAGCUCACUGGUCGAGUGGUUGUGCGCGGAAGAUGUAACGGGGCUAAGCUUGAAACCGAAGCUACGGAUGGUCCGCCUUGAGCGGACCGUGGUAGGGGAGCGUUCCAUGCAGGGUUGAAGCGUGACCGUAAGGACGCGUGGACCGCAUGGAAGUGAUCAUGCCGGCAUUAGUAACGACAAGACAGGUGAGAAACCUGUCCGCCGAAAACCCAAGGGUUCCCGGGCCAGGGUAAUCCUCCCGGGGUUAGUCGGAUCCUAAGCCGAGGCCGAAAGGCGUAGGCGAUGGAAAACAGGCACAAAGAUUCCUGUACCACCGCGUCACCGUCUGAGCGACGGGGCGACGCAGAAAGAUAGGGCGCCCGCCUAUUGGACGGCGGGCUAAGCGUGCGGGAGGCAGCCCAGGCAAAUCCGGGCUGCACUACUCCGAGGCGUUAUGGGACGUGGAUCCUUCGGGUGAAGCGGAUCGUCCGAUUCUAUGCUGCCAAGAAAAACCUCUAGCGAGGUGGCCGGUGUCCGUACCGUAAACCGACACAGGUGGGUGAGAAGAGUAUUCUAAGGCGCUCGGGAGAACCAUCCUUAAGGAACUCGACCAAUUGGCCCCGUAUCUUCGGAAGAAGGGGUGCUCUGGGCGGUGAAGGGUUUACCCCGUAAGCUGCUUGGAGUUGCAACAAAGAGGCUCAGGCGACUGUUUAACAAAAACAUAGGUCUCUGCUAAGUCGUAAGACGACGUAUAGGGACUGACGCCUGCCCAAUGCCGGAAGGUUAACGGGAGGAGUUAGCAUAAUUUAUUAUGCGAAGCUCCGAACCGAAGCCCUGGUUAAUGGCGGCCGUAACUAUAACGGUCCUAAGGUAGCGAAAUUCCUUGUCGGGUAAGUUCCGACCUGCACGAAUGGCGUAACGAUCUGAGCGUUGUCUCAAGGGUGGUCCCGGUGAAGUUGUAUUACCUGUGAAGAUGCAGGUUACCCGCGACAGGACGGAAAGACCCCGUGCACCUUUACUACAGCUUGAUAUUGACUUUUGUUUUGGUCUGUAUAGGAUAGGUGGGAGACAUUGAUGCCAGGGCGCUAGCUUUGGCGGAGUCAACCUUGGAAUACCACCCUGAUUAAAAUAGAAGUCUAACCCUGAUCCCGUGAAGCCGGGCAGGGAACAGUGUCUGGUGGGUAGUUUGACUGGGGCGGUCGCCUCACAAAGAGUAACUGAGGCGCCCAAAGGUUCCCUCAGCAUGUUUGGAAAUCAUGCUUCGAGUGCAAAGGCAAAAGGGAGCUUAACUGCGAGACCUACAAGUCGAGCAGAUACGAAAGUAGGGCUUAGUGAUCCAGCGGUUCCGUAUGGAAGGGCCGUUGCUCAACGGAUAAAAGGUACGCCGGGGAUAACAGGCUAAUCUCCCCCAAGAGUUCACAUCGACGGGGAGGUUUGGCACCUCGAUGUCGGCUCGUCACAUCCUGGGGCUGAAGCAGGUCCCAAGGGUUCGUCUGUUCGCCGAUUAAUGUGGCACGCGAGCUGGGUUCAGAACGUCGUGAGACAGUUCGGUCCCUAUCCGUCGUGGGCGUAGGAGAUUUGAGGGGAGUUGCCUCUAGUACGAGAGGACCGAGGUGAACGAACCUAUGGUGUUCCGGUUGUCACGCCAGUGGCACAGCCGGGUAGCUAUGUUCGGAAGGGAUAAGCGCUGAAGGCAUCUAAGCACGAAGCCCCCCCCAAGAUAAGAUCUCCCUGGGCCGUAAGGCCCCUAAAGGGUCCUGGAAGACUACCAGGUGAUAGGCUGGAGGUGUAAGCGUAGCAAUACGUUCAGCUUACCAGUACUAAUUGCCCGUGAGGCUUGACCUU